rnacentral:rRNA from 1 species
GAUGAACGCUGGCGGCGUGCCUAAUACAUGCAAGUCGAGCGAACAGAUGAGGAGCUUGCUCCUCUGACGUUAGCGGCGGACGGGUGAGUAACACGUGGAUAACCUACCUAUAAGACUGGGAUAACUUCGGGAAACCGGAGCUAAUACCGGAUAAUAUAUUGAACCGCAUGGUUCAAUAGUGAAAGACGGUUUUGCUGUCACUUAUAGAUGGAUCCGCGCCGCAUUAGCUAGUUGGUAAGGUAACGGCUUACCAAGGCAACGACGCGUAGCCGACCUGAGAGGGUGAUCGGCCACACUGGAACUGAGACACGGUCCAGACUCCUACGGGAGGCAGCAGUAGGGAAUCUUCCGCAAAGGGCGAAAGCCUGACGGAGCAACGCCGCGUGAGUGAUGAAGGUCUUCGGAUCGUAAAACUCUGUUAUUAGGGAAGAACAAAUGUGUAAGUAACUAUGCACGUCUUGACGGUACCUAAUCAGAAAGCCACGGCUAACUACGUG